UACCUGUAGCUCAAUGGGUAGUGCGUUGGACUUCUGAUCCAAAGGUCGUGUGUUCGAAUACCACCUGGAAAG
rnacentral:tRNA from 1 species